UGCUGUGAUGAAAAUAAUUGUUAGGAAGUGCCGUCAGAAGCGAUAACUGACGAUAACUACUCCUGGCUGAUU